rnacentral:rRNA from 1 species
UGGGGAAUCUUGCACAAUGGGGGCAACCCUGAUGCAGCGACGCCGCGUGAGCGAUGAAGCCCUUCGGGGCGUAAAGCUCUUUCGACCGGAACGAUAAUGACGGUACCGGGAGAAGAAGCUGCGGCUAACUACGUGCCAGCAGCCGCGGUAAUAAGUAGGCAGCAAGCGUUGUUCGGCGUUACUGGGCGUAACGAGUGCGUAGGCGGUUUUCUAAGUUCGGUGUGAAAUCUCCCGGCUUAACUGGGAGGGUGCGCCGAAGACUGGGAAGCUGGAGUGUGGGAAAGGCAGGCGGAAUUCCUGGUGUAGCGGUGAAAUGCGUAGAUAUCAGGAGGAACACCGGCGUUGUAGACGGCUUGCUAGACCAUAACUGACGC